rnacentral:rRNA from 1 species
GAUGAACGCUGGCGGCGUGCCUAAUACAUGCAAGUCGAGCGAACAGAUAAGGAGCUUGCUCCUUUGACGUUAGCGGCGGACGGGUGAGUAACACGUGGGUAACCUACCUAUAAGACUGGGAUAACUUCGGGAAACCGGAGCUAAUACCGGAUAACAUUUGGAACCGCAUGGUUCUAAAGUGAAAGAUGGUUUUGCUAUCACUUAUAGAUGGACCCGCGCCGUAUUAGCUAGUUGGUAAGGUAACGGCUUACCAAGGCGACGAUACGUAGCCGACCUGAGAGGGUGAUCGGCCACACUGGAACUGAGACACGGUCCAGACUCCUACGGGAGGCAGCAGUAGGGAAUCUUCGGCAAUGGGCGAAAGCCUGACGGAGCAACGCCGCGUGAGUGAUGAAGGGUUUCGGCUCGUAAAACUCUGUUAUUAGGGAAGAACAAAUGUGUAAGUAACUGUGCACGUCUUGACGGUACCUAAUCAGAAAGCCACGGCUAACUACGUG